GAGCCACCGCCUCCUCCUACCGCCGCGUCCUUCCGCUGGCUUCAGCCUCUAUCCCCUCCUCCUGGGUAUCACCGGCACCAGUCACCGUGUGGGUGGGCGUGCUGUCCAGAAAAGUGCGUCCGCUCCUCUGCCGCCACCGGAAUUCCUCAAGAGGGUCCUGACUUUCCAUUGAAUACAAGAACUCAAUGAUCUUGGCAUAUGCUCAAUAUUAUACUCCACCAUCCAACCCUCCAUAGACUUAUUAUACAUGUUAUCCAAUGGGAAAGCCAUUAUUGGAUCGGCGCCUGCUGCCUGGAAACCAGUGGAAGAAAACCAUUGAAGAGGCUUCUACUAGACAAAGUCUUCAUCGCUCAACUUCUACACAGUCAGCUCUUAGUGCCAUCUGGUCCUGGGAAAGACAAGUGGCCAAUAGUUCAGAUUUCACGUUUUCUGUAAUGGAAAUUGUAUCUAGUUAGUAAAGGAAACAGAAGCAAAACUAAUAGAGACAUGUCAGUUGAUACCCAGCUUUCCCAGAAUCAGAUCUACUAAUGGCUGGGUGUGUAACAGUAGAGGGUGACACCAUGAUGUCUUAAUGUUGUGUGGAAAUAUUUGCCAGAAGCUGACGCUUUAUAUUUCCAUUCCCAUGAUAUUGGCUUCACUCAAACUCCUGAUAAGUUCUAGACACUGCAUAGAGAUGAAUAUAUACGUAUACUUUCUUCUCUUCUCCAGGAUACAGACAUUACAAUAAAACACUCUCUAUUGUGAAGCAUACAACAAAAAGAAGAAAAUGAGAUUUUUCAAGAUUCAGCCAGUCCCCAUUAUGACCAGAUACUCUUAAAUAUCUUCCUGGCAAUCUCUCUCUGUUUCGCUGUCUCCGUACGUUACAUUUUUCAUGAAUUUAUAGUAGAAGCCAUAUCUUAUGAUAACAGUGUUGGGGGUCAACUGCACUUAAAGGAGAUCUCCAGUAUUGAAAAAUGUAUCCCCUAUAGGGUAAGUUUCAGAUCGUGGGGGGUCCCAGCGGUCGGAUUCCUCCCCCCCCCGCGAUCUGAAUCUUAUUUCUUAUCCUUAGGAUAGGGGAUACGUUUUCAAUACUGGAGAUCUCCUUUAAUGUGGAAGUUUCACUGCUAGAUUAAGGGUCCAUGAAUACUACAGAUUAUCCGCUCGGGAUGAAUUCCGCGCAGAAUUCGUUGGCACCAGAAUACAUUAAUCUCAUUGGGAUUCUGCUGCUCCGCGCACACUAAGGAAUUUCCGUAGCACAACUUUCAACACAGAUCCGGAUUUCACUGAAAGAAUUAACUUGUUCAUUCUUUUCAUAGAAUUCCACAAGGAAAAUCCCAUUGUCAGAGGGAGUUUGAAUUGCAGAAGUAAAAGGGGUACUCCACCCCUGGACAUCUUAUCAAAGGUAUGGGUGAUAAGAUGUCUGAUCGCGGGAGGUCCCAGCUGUGGUUGUUCGUCACGACCACAGCCGCCCAGCCAGGGUGCAUCACAGGGGUCCUAUUGGCCUGACCCACCGCGAUCAGACAUCUUUUCCCCUAUUCUUUGGAUAGGGGAUAAGAUGUCCAGAGACAAAUUCUGCUCAAUUAUAGGGGACGUGGAUCGGACAUGGACCCUUAGGGUCCUUAGCACUUCUCACUUCUCUGUAUUUCUUUAAUACCUAAUUUCUGUCGCUAUAAGUACCCUCAGAAUUGUCGAGUGUUGUGGACUAUGUUGGUAAUAUGUAAAAUUUUUUAAUUAUUAUUGUUUUUCUAAUGUGAAAAGAGAUUUAUUUUCACUAUGUUACUUUAUGACUCUUUAUUUACUUUAUGAGAUUUUACACAUUGUUUCAUACAGUUAUACAAAACAUAUACAGAUAUAAUUACACACAUGUCAUAAUCAUCAUUAGCUAAUUGUGGGCAGAACCUAUAACCUUACAUGACUGCUGACAGCCUGUUAUAGGGAGUUUGGUGCAUCAAGAUAUCAAGCUAUGAAUAAGAACAUCUCCAAAAUGAGUCAGUGGUUUCUGAUAUGAAUUGGUUUUUAGUCCCAUUUUUAGUUUUCACUGAUACAUUUUGUGUAUCAAAAAGAAUUAAAGUUGUAAAUAACUUCUUUAUACUGUUGUCUUAAAGGGGUACUCCGGUGGAAAUAAAUGUUUUCAAAUCAACUGGUGCCAGAAAGUUAAACAGAUUUGUAA